UCAGUCUCAGGCUCGUGGCUUGAGCUUAUGUGGCCCCUGUGGGCGGCCUUUGGGGUCCGCUCACCCCGACGAAGUGCACUCGGUUUCACGUGAGGGACUGCGCCUGUGCCCCGGGGGCGGCCCGAGGGGGCCCAGGCUGCGUCCUGAAUUAGGAUCCCAUCUGUGCACGUCAAUAGAGGAUAUGGCAGCCCUGGGGGCAAUCCAAGAACCACUCUCUGCUUCAGCCCACAUCAACUUCCCAUCACCUGGAUCCCAUCCAGGACCUCCUCAUCAUGAAAUGCUACUGCACCUCCAGGAUCCCCAAUACGGUACUCAUUCUACCCCAGCCCACUCCCAGAACUUUAUGUCCCUCUUCUUCAGCCAGAUCCUUCAAUAGAGAUCCCUUCAUAAAGUCCUUGAACAGAUUUUGAUUAAAAAUUGUAGAGGCAAAUUGAACUUUUCUUCUCACUGCAGAAUUAUCUACUUUUUGUUAGUUUGCCAUUUUUGAUGAUAAUAAUUUUUUUGUUUAUUAUAGGAACUGAAAUAAGGAUACUUGUAAAUUAGAGUUGUUCUAAUUUUUAAUAAAUUUAUUUUAAAAUA